UACGUAGGGUGCGAGCGUUAAUCGGAAUUACUGGGCGUAAAGCGUGCGCAGGCGGUGCUGUAAGACAGGCGUGAAAUCCCCGGGCUUAACCUGGGAACGGCGCUUGUGACUGCAGUGCUGGAGUGUGGCAGAGGGGGAUGGAAUUCCGCGUGUAGCAGUGAAAUGCGUAGAUAUGCGGAGGAACACCGAUGGCGAAGGCAAUCCCCUGGGCCUGCACUGACGCUCAUGCACGAAAGCGUGGGGAGCAAACAGG
rnacentral:rRNA from 1 species